UUAUAUUUGAACGGACACUAUCUAAAUAAGUGUUACGUUUUAAAUCGUAAUUUCUAUAUCAAUAUUUACAUGUCCUUUUGAAGUUGCUUUUGCCAAAAGGUUUGCCUUAAUUUAAUUUGAAAUUUGACUCUUGGCCCAAAAAAAGGACAUCUUCUUUCCAUAUACAUAGAGAAUACUACUUUAUUAUUUAGCAAUAUUGCAUUGUUGUAAUACUACAAGAAGUGACAUGGGUUACUCAAAACAUGCAAGUUACUUUUAUAAAAAAGGAUUAGGCAGAGUAAGGUUGAAUAAUAAAUAAAUAAAUAAAUAAAUAAAUAAAUAAGAUGCGAAAAAUAGAAGAAGAUAAAGGAGACGUAUAUUUUUAUAAUAGUUCACAACAAAUUGUUCCUAUUUCUAUUUCUCCCUUUCAAAAAGAUUUUACCUCAGUAAAGUCGAGGACUUAAUCCAUUAUUUCCAUAUAUAGCAUAAAGGUAUUCUUUACUCUGCCUUUUUAGGCUUUUAGUAUUUUUCUCUAGCCUCUCCAGAUUGUCUUCAUCAAAACCUUCUUCAACUUAUGGCAUCUUGCCAUUGAGGUUCACGAGAGUCGUGGUACCUUUUCACGUACCUCUUAGGGGUGAGAAGGUUGUUGUCACUAUCGGGCUAAUUUACAUCAGUUUUAGUUUGUGUCUGAUUUGACACAAAGUUUGUUUUUCGGAUUCUAACUCUCAUUGAGAGUAUGUUAUAGAUCAAGUCAUUUAUCAGUACAAGUGUGAGAGAACUAGAUAUAUGAACAAGUAGUAGAUUCAAGAUGUUGAUCAAAGGAAGCACAAUUGCUUCGACUUCUUUUGAAUGUUGAAUUUCAUCAUAGCGUUUACUUCUUUUAUAUCAUUGAUUUCCUUCAGUGCAUACGACAUAAGUUAGAGUUAUAUGAUCAGAAACUUGAAAUGAUUAUCAGUGGCAGAGAAUCACUCGUUUGUCAAGCUUAUUAAAGGCAAUUGAUUACUUGCUUUAUCAAUCGUAUCAGAGGUAGACGAGCUGAGAAUAACUGAAACAUAAUGUAUCAUGUAUUUUUAGAGUCACUAGAACUAGAACAUUGCUUGCGUUAUAAGAGUCAGUCAAAACGCAAUAUUGCUUUGCGUCGUUGGAAGCGUGUGUUACAACACUUGCGUCAAAAUCAAACAAAUUGAAUGAAGUAGAGUCUUGUUGUUCCUUUGUCUUCGUCCAAUCACCAGAGGAUAUAACUUAAAUCAAGGUAACAUUUGACUUUGAACUAAUACUUGCAAUAUUACAUCUUCCUCCCAUAGUAGACAUAGUUACUUGUAUAUUAGGAUAUAAUAGUCUGUAUAUAAGAAACAUUUAGAUUAUUGUCUCUAUUUUACUUGGAUCUUUUGCUACUCUAAGAUGAAUAGUCAUUAAUAUAACUCUUUGUGUUCUAACUUAAUAUGCACACUUUGCAAAUACAGAUGCAUUAUGAUUAUUCUUUAUUUGUUUGUUUUUGUUAUCUUAAAACAUCUACCAGAGGAUUGUACCAAAAACCCAUUUUGGACUAACACACCCUAUAAAAGUUUCUAACUCAUAUUUUAAGCUCACUAACUUUUAAGUGUUCUCGUUAGUCAAUUAUUAAACAAAGGGCUUCAGUCACAUGUAGUAAGUCUUAAGAUGAUUUGUGGGAAAUACGAAUUUUCCGUUCCAUUGACUUAUUUUAAACUCAUGAAUUCAAACUCACGCUCACAUCAUACAUUAAUUGACACUUUCAUAAAAUAUGUGAAUCACCAAAAGUUCCAAGCAACGCCAGCCCUACAACGUGCAAUAGAUGUGUCUGAAUGUCUCUGAAAUCAGCGAAGAAUUCAUAGGAUCACAAAAAUCGGUCUGGUAAAUCAAGCGGAGCAUAAAAUCAAAGUUACAUAAUUAACUAAAAAUUUAGCAGUAAGAACGAAGAUAAAAACGACACCAAAUCGAUAGUUAGAUAUAGUAUCACUGACGCGUCGAGGCACUGACAAGAUCUGACGUCAACUUUAUCAAAAUAUGCGAAUCAGUAGAGCUUCUUAAAAGUUUCGACGAGAGGAAUCUAACAAUAUCAUUUUUUCCAAUGAUGAAUACGGAGGUCGAAAAAGGAAAAUAUAGUCCGUCUAAAUAAGAAAAUGUGAUUGUUUCUUAAAAGAGAAUAUGAGUAAAGCUUCUUCAAAGUUUCAAUGAGAAUAAUCAAAAAACGAUGUCCAUUUUUUUCAAUGAUCAACACGGAGGCCGAAUAAGGAAAAUACAGUCUGUCCAUAUUUACAAAGAUUAUUUUUUAGACAAUAAAAGAGAAUAUGCAAUCGAAACUAUAUUAUAUUAUUUUUACCCAAGGACAAGAAAACUUGCUUGAUUGGAGAAUUUUUUUUUUUUGGUGUUUUUUUUAUUCCUAAAUUAAAUUUAAGUCCCCAUCUUUUUGUUUCUUUAAUAAAAUUUUAACUUAAUUGAAAACAAAAACAAAAAAAAUUCAUAGCUGAAUUAAAAAAAUUAAAUUUGAACGGACACUAUCUAAAUAAGUGUUACGUUUUAAAUCGUAAUUUCUAUAUCAAUAUUUACAUGUCCUUUUGAAGUUGCUUUUGCCAAAAGGUUUGCCUUAAUUUAAUUUGAAAUUUGACUCUUGGCCCAAAAAAAGGACAUCUUCUUUCCAUAUACAUAGAGAAUACUACUUUAUUAUUUGGCAACAUUGCAUUGUAAUCCUCCAAAGAAGUGACAUGGCUUACUCAAAUUCAUAUAUGUUUCUUGGUUUGGGAUUUUUUAUUAUUCUCUCUUCUCAAGUUCUAGAUCAAGUUCCUCUUCUUCCUCCUCCACCUCCACCUCCACCUCCACCUCCUCCUCCUACAAUUAUUUAUAUUUGAUACAAGGGAUGCUUUUGUGAAUUGGACAAAAGAAAUCGGGAAUGUUAUUGUUAUUAUCAGAAGAUCAGAUAUAGAGACGGGAAUGAAAGGAAGGAGAAAUAAAUUAACAUUAAGUUGUGACAAAGGGAGAAAAUACAAGUGUGUUGCUAGUUCAACUCGAAGUUCAACAAAAAAGUGUGAUUGUCCUUUCCAGCUUAGAUCAAAACCAUUAAAAGAUGGUUCAAGAUGGAUAGUUAAAGUAAUUUGUGGAAUUUACAGCCAUGAAUUAUCUGAUACUUUGGAGGGGCAUGCAUAUGUGGGACGCUUAGAUGAAGAAGAAAGAAAGCAUGUUCAUGACUUAACAAAAUAUAAUGGUGCACCGAGACACAUAUUACUCUCAUUGCAAGACCGAGAUAAGAGUAAUGUUACUAAAGUAUCACAAAUAUAUAAACGGAGGAGUAUGAUUCGAUUGCACGUGAGAGGUAAUAGAACAAAGAUGCAACAUUUAUUCACGUUAAUUGAAGAUGAAAAAUAUGUGUGUUGGAAUAGAAAGUGUGAAGACUCUGAUGUUAUGAGAGAUAUUUUUUUGGGCGCAUCCUGAUUCAGUGAAGACUCGGAUGUUAUGAGAGAUAUUUUUUACUCUUACACGGUAAAGUUCUAAAUCAAGAGACCGAGCUCUGAUACCAAUUUAAGUAGUUGGAAAAUACAAGACACAGGAGUUUGAAUUGUGUUUGCCCUUUUUGAAGGCUAUUUAGAUUUCCUUACACAAA